rnacentral:tRNA from 1 species
GCGGGAGUAGCAUAAUGGUUAGUGUUCUAGCCUUCCAAGCUAGUUAUGCGGGUUCGAUUCCCGUCUCCCGCU